UACGAAGGGGGCUAGCGUUGCUCGGAAUCACUGGGCGUAAAGCGCACGUAGGCGGCUUUUUAAGUCAGAGGUGAAAUCCUGGAGCUCAACUCCAGAACUGCCUUUGAUACUGGAGAGCUUGAGUCCGGGAGAGGUGAGUGGAACUGCGAGUGUAGAGGUGAAAUUCGUAGAUAUUCGCAAGAACACCAGUGGCGAAGGCGGCUCACUGGCCCGGUACUGACGCUGAGGUGCGAAAGCGCGGGGAGCAAACAGG
rnacentral:rRNA from 1 species